rfam:Schistocephalus solidus strain NST_G2 genome assembly, scaffold: SSLN_scaffold0002941
AGCCUCGUAGCUCAGUUGGCUAGAGCGUUGGCUGUACUGAAGCCUUCGCCUUGCUGGCGUGGGUUCGAAUCCCACCAAGACCG